GCGAGAGUGGCGGAAUUGGCAGACGCGCUGGAUUUAGGAUCCAGUGCCUUCGGGCGUGCAGGUUCAACUCCUGUCUCUCGCA
rnacentral:tRNA from 2 species